UCAAAUUAUUGAUAAAUAAAAGUCGUUAUGGGAAUUAAGCAAGAAACGUUAAACGGGAAAUGGCAAAUGAAUUGCAUGUUUUUCACGGUGGUCGGUUCAAUUUUGUAUGAUACACAACCCUUGUGUACAGUUUUUUUGUUGACGACUAAAAACGCCAGUGGCGCCGCCAUUAGUAAACUAAGACGACAAAAUUGUAAAUAUAAAUGUCUUGGCAAAAUUGUCAACAAUAACCUUUUCAUUGUCUAAAUCAAUUCCACGCUUAAUGUAUUAGUAAUAAGGUUCAGGAUUGGUUACUAACAGUAUAAUGUAAUUGCAUGUAAACAUCAGACUCUACCCUCCCAUGUCCCAAACUUUCUUCAUAAACGAAGAGCCAGAGCAUAAGCCGAACAAUAUGUGGAAGGAAUAUUCCGAAGCUGCAGCCGUGGGUAGCUCACAAGACAAAGCUAAAGUGUAUGUACUCUACGACUAUUCCAUAGUUAGAAGUAGUUUAUUAUUUUUUACUAUUCAUUUAAUUUUUAUAUUAAAAAGCGUGAACUAAAAGUCGAUAAAAUUAAUGUGUCAAUAUCGACUUUGUGGCACAGCUUUAUGACACUUUGACUUUUAUUUUAUUAAUUUACCGAACUAUUUAUAAACGUAUUUAUUAUUGUUGUUCAAAACCUCGACUUAGACAAGGAUUUUGGGUAAUUGAUUAUUUUAUUAAGUUUGUUUUCAAAAUGGCUCGUUUUCAACCAUUCCUUUCCCUACCACUUUCUAACACACACUACUAUAAUAUUAGAAUGUAUUCUGUAUCCUAUACUCAAUUAAGCAAUGAAAUUCGUACUUACAGAUUGUGUACUAUAAGUGCGAAAUUCAACUUAACCUACUGUAAAUGAGUUUUCAUUAUAUUCAUAUUAUUUAGGUAUUAUAUUUAUUGUAUAACUUUCAUCUUAAUCAUCUAGUUAUUUGUACCGUAUUCAUUGUCAGUUUCAGAUUUGCCUACUAGACUUAAUUACAAUAACUUAAGACACAUUUUGUGUGGACCUUAUUUUUUUAAUCUUAAGGAAUCUUUAGUUGUAUGUAGUUAAAUCUACUGACAGAUUAUUUCAGGAUAUGAGCUAUCUUUAUUUCUACCUCACUAAGAGCCUGUUUCACCAACUUCAUACAAGAACCAGAUAAAAGCAAAAUAUUACAAAUUUCUACAUUCAAAGGACAGUGUGAACCAAAUGUAUGGAGUCUGGGCCCACCCCUCAAUAGCAACAUGUGAUACGCCGUUGGAUAGGGAUUUUCAAAUAGAACAAUAGUUACUAAUAUACCUAUGAUCAAAUGUUAGUAUCCUCGGAGGUACGACGUCCUAAAGACAUUUCAAAUUCAAUCUGAAAUCCAUAGAGGGGUAAUUUUAUUCUUAUUGAGAGAUGGGCCCAAAAUUACCCAUUGUCCUUUAUCUAGUACAUAGCGGCUAUUUAGACAUAGUGAAACAGGCCUUAAACCUACAAAGCCAUUACAAAGAA